rnacentral:misc_RNA from 1 species
CUUUCCCUUGAAAAAGGAGAAUAUAUAGUUGUUGGAAGUGAUGAUUCCAAUGUUUACUUCUAUGAUUUAACGCGGCCAAGGCAUACGUGUGUGAACAAGCUACAGGGUCAUCGUUUUCCAGUUAUUGGCGUUGCUUGGAACCAUGGAGAGAAUUUGUUGGCUUCAUCUGAUCUUUAUGGCAUUGUUAUUGUAUGGAAGAGAGCAAGGCAACUUCAAACAAACAUACAUGAUGACAAAUCUCAGACACAUACAUACAAGGAAUGAGGAAGGAAUUUAGCUCCUCCCCCCCCCAC